rnacentral:sRNA from 12 species
AUUCAAUACAGAUGUAUUCAACGCAAGACAGUUGGGCAUCUCCCUGUAGGAUGAAGUUUAAUAGAAGUCUUAACAACAAUUCUCAUUGUGUGGCUACUCUGGUCGAAAUGAGAUGCGUUAGGAUGGAAGAGGUUAACCGUAAGACCUUGAGUUGCAAAACUCUAAAAUUGACCUAGAGAUAUGGAUUUCAGAAUUUUCUCAUUUUCUAGUUACGAUAAG